CUGCUGCUUUGUGUGCCCAGCUCCAUUUGCCCAGUCUGCCCGCCUCCGUGACCCUCCGCAGCACCGGCUGGAGCUCCGCAGCGCAUGAGCAUGGAGCUGCUGCAGAAGAAAGAAGCAGCGUGUGGAACUGGAAGGCUACAGCGAGCAAGAGGAGGAAGCGGAAGCCUGUGGAUGGGGGGGAAAGAGAGAGGCUCUCUGGGCAAAAGCACCUCCCUGUUAGCGGGGACACAGUCAUGUUUCGGUAGAGCGCUGCCGGCACCUUGGGUGACCAGGCCGGGUUUGUGCUGGGCGACCUCCCUGUAAGCAGGGCUCGGGUCUUUGCUGUAGCUGGCCUUUUGCCUUGUUGCUCCUUUGGCUGCCUGGGGAGCGUGGCCCCCCGUACGGAGGGCGAGAGCCACCUCUCCGCACCUGAGUGGGAAAUGGAGCUCGCCGUACCCCACGGCCACCCUGUAAGCAGGGUAGGUGCCGUUUCCCUGCCCCUCUUCUCCCGGCCCCUUGGCGUUGCUGCCUGCUGGUGGCCAGUCAAUGCAACGGCCCUGUACUCGGGGUGCGUGUCACAGCCCUUUGCCUUAGCUCAGAACCCUCUUGGCACGUUGAGGUCUGUGGCCUCCGUGCAGCCUGGGGUCACGUCACAGGCUCUUUCCUGUUGCUUGUGGUUGUGGGUUUAUUCCCAGGUGUAGGCUGCGCUGCGUUGUCCUUCCCUUCUGGAAAGUCACAUCUGUGUGUGUGUUCCCCUUCCUUUCCUUGUUUGUGUUUGUGGAGUGACUGUGCAAUUGAACUUUCCUGUUAGGCCUCCACAAAAAAGGCUGCAGCUUAGCUUGGACUUCCCAGGGGGGAAUGGAGGACUUGAUGCGUGGCACAAGUGGGAUGUUCCCUCUUAGUCCCAUGAGCGCAGCGAGUGUCCUGUCACGCCCCCUUUUUUUUAGGACAGAUGAGAGCCACAAGAUAGUUCAGUGGCCAUGGCCACCCUGUAGCCAGGGCUUCGGCCUGUCUCUGCGUGGCCGCCUGCUGGUGGCCAGUCAAUGCAACGGCCCUGUACUCGGGGUGCGUGUCACAAGCUGUUGAGCCCUCUGUCCCCAGAGCAGCCCAGCCCCGCUGUAGUCAGGUCUGGGGAGGCUGCUUUAGCCAGCCAGUUGGUGGGAAUGACCCCUCCCUGUCCCGUUAGAGGGUGCAGGUUGAGGUGCUGCUUGUAGCUGGAGCGACCUCCCCGCUCGGUGGGUCGAGGUUGUUCCCUGGGCUCCCAGAGACGUGAUGUUGUGCUGCAGCCGGGCGGGCCCGCCUGUAGCUCAGGCGUUGGUGGGAGCUGUGUGCUCCGUGGGGCUUCUUGGCGAUGGUGAGAUGUUGGGCACCGUCCUGUAGCCAGGGCUGUGUGUGCCCCGUGUGUUUGGUGAGCUGUGUUCUGAGAGAAGACCCCCUGUAGUCAGGCGGGUAUGUGGCCCUGGCCUUUCAGAGGCACAGGGCCGAUAGAUGUGAGAUUGGGCUUGCACCCUCCCUGCAUUUGGGGCCUGGAUUGCGCCCGCGGCCUUUGGCCGUGCUGUCCCGCUGCCUGGCUGCUGAGUGUCGUUCCUGCUGCUGGGGGGGAAACCGAGCUCUGUGGCUCCGUGGGUGUUGUCGCCCCGCCUGUAACCAGGGUCUGGGUGCAGGAGCCUUUGUGCUCUGCUGGCAGCCUGUGUACACCAGAAUGGGAGAGAAGGAGCCUCCCUCAGCCUACGGACCAGGGCUGCCCUGUAAGUCAGGGAUUGGCCGUGCCUUGGAGUCCCAGGCCCUUUGCAAUGGAGGCAGCGUCAGGGGACCCCUGUAAGCAGGGAAGUUGACCCUUUGGCUGCUGCUUUUUGUGUGCCCAGCUCCAUUUGCCCAGUCUGCCCGCCUCCGUGACCCUCCGCAGCACCGGCUGGAGCUCCGCAGCGCAUGAGCAUGGAGCUGCUGCAGAAGAAAGAAGCAGCGUGUGGAACUGGAAGGCUACAGCGAGCAAGAGGAGGAAGCGGAAGCCUGUGGAUGGGGGGGAAAGAGAGAGGCUCUCUGGGCAAAAGCACCUCCCUGUUAGCGGGGACACAGUCAUGUUUCGGUAGAGCGCUGCCGGCACCUUGGGUGACCAGGCCGGGUUUGUGCUGGGCGACCUCCCUGUAAGCAGGGCUCGGGUCUUUGCUGUAGCUGGCCUUUUGCCUUGUUGCUCCUUUGGCUGCCUGGGGAGCGUGGCCCCCCGUACGGAGGGCGAGAGCCACCUCUCCGCACCUGAGUGGGAAAUGGAGCUCGCCGUACCCCACGGCCACCCUGUAAGCAGGGUAGGUGCCGUUUCCCUGCCCCUCUUCUCCCGGCCCUUUGGCGUUGCUGCCUGCUGGUGGCCAGUCAAUGCAACGGCCCUGUACUCGGGGUGCGUGUCACAAGCUGUUGAGCCCUCUGUCCCCAGAGCAGCCCAGCCCCGCUGUAGUCAGGUCUGGGGAGGCUGCUUUAGCCAGCCAGUUGGUGGGAAUGACCCCUCCCUGUCCCGUUAGAGGGUGCAGGUUGAGGUGCUGCUUGUAGCUGGAGCGACCUCCCCGCUCGGUGGGUCGAGGUUGUUCCCUGGGCUCCCAGAGACGUGAUGUUGUGCUGCAGCCGGGCGGGCCCGCCUGUAGCUCAGGCGUUGGUGGGAGCUGUGUGCUCCGUGGGGCUUCUUGGCGAUGGUGAGAUGUUGGGCACCGUCCUGUAGCCAGGGCUGUGUGUGCCCCGUGUGUUUGGUGAGCUGUGUUCUGAGAGAAGACCCCCUGUAGUCAGGCGGGUAUGUGGCCCUGGCCUUUCAGAGGCACAGGGCCGAUAGAUGUGAGAUUGGGCUUGCACCCUCCCUGCAUUUGGGGCCUGGAUUGCGCCCGCGGCCUUUGGCCGUGCUGUCCCGCUGCCUGGCUGCUGAGUGUCGUUCCUGCUGCUGGGGGGGAAACCGAGCUCUGUGGCUCCGUGGGUGUUGUCGCCCCGCCUGUAACCAGGGUCUGGGUGCAGGAGCCUUUGUGCUCUGCUGGCAGCCUGUGUACACCAGAAUGGGAGAGAAGGAGCCUCCCUCAGCCUACGGACCAGGGCUGCCCUGUAAGUCAGGGAUUGGCCGUGCCUUGGAGUCCCAGGCCCUUUGCAAUGGAGGCAGCGUCAGGGGACCCCUGUAAGCAGGGAAGUUGACCCUUUGGCUGCUGCUUUUUGUGUGCCCAGCUCCAUUUGCCCAGUCUGCCCGCCUCCGUGACCCUCCGCAGCACCGGCUGGAGCUCCGCAGCGCAUGAGCAUGGAGCUGCUGCAGAAGAAAGAAGCAGCGUGUGGAACUGGAAGGCUACAGCGAGCAAGAGGAGGAAGCGGAAGCCUGUGGAUGGGGGGGAAAGAGAGAGGCUCUCUGGGCAAAAGCACCUCCCUGUUAGCGGGGACACAGUCAUGUUUCGGUAGAGCGCUGCCGGCACCUUGGGUGACCAGGCCGGGUUUGUGCUGGGCGACCUCCCUGUAAGCAGGGCUCGGGUCUUUGCUGUAGCUGGCCUUUUGCCUUGUUGCUCCUUUGGCUGCCUGGGGAGCGUGGCCCCCCGUACGGAGGGCGAGAGCCACCUCUCCGCACCUGAGUGGGAAAUGGAGCUCGCCGUACCCCACGGCCACCCUGUAAGCAGGGUAGGUGCCGUUUCCCUGCCCCUCUUCUCCCGGCCCUUUGGCGUUGCUGCCUGCUGGUGGCCAGUCAAUGCAACGGCCCUGUACUCGGGGUGCGUGUCACAAGCUGUUGAGCCCUCUGUCCCCAGAGCAGCCCAGCCCCGCUGUAGUCAGGUCUGGGGAGGCUGCUUUAGCCAGCCAGUUGGUGGGAAUGACCCCUCCCUGUCCCGUUAGAGGGUGCAGGUUGAGGUGCUGCUUGUAGCUGGAGCGACCUCCCCGCUCGGUGGGUCGAGGUUGUUCCCUGGGCUCCCAGAGACGUGAUGUUGUGCUGCAGCCGGGCGGGCCCGCCUGUAGCUCAGGCGUUGGUGGGAGCUGUGUGCUCCGUGGGGCUUCUUGGCGAUGGUGAGAUGUUGGGCACCGUCCUGUAGCCAGGGCUGUGUGUGCCCCGUGUGUUUGGUGAGCUGUGUUCUGAGAGAAGACCCCCUGUAGUCAGGCGGGUAUGUGGCCCUGGCCUUUCAGAGGCACAGGGCCGAUAGAUGUGAGAUUGGGCUUGCACCCUCCCUGCAUUUGGGGCCUGGAUUGCGCCCGCGGCCUUUGGCCGUGCUGUCCCGCUGCCUGGCUGCUGAGUGUCGUUCCUGCUGCUGGGGGGGAAACCGAGCUCUGUGGCUCCGUGGGUGUUGUCGCCCCGCCUGUAACCAGGGUCUGGGUGCAGGAGCCUUUGUGCUCUGCUGGCAGCCUGUGUACACCAGAAUGGGAGAGAAGGAGCCUCCCUCAGCCUACGGACCAGGGCUGCCCUGUAAGUCAGGGAUUGGCCGUGCCUUGGAGUCCCAGGCCCUUUGCAAUGGAGGCAGCGUCAGGGGACCCCUGUAAGCAGGGAAGUUGACCCUUUGGCUGCUGCUUUUUGUGUGCCCAGCUCCAUUUGCCCAGUCUGCCCGCCUCCGUGACCCUCCGCAGCACCGGCUGGAGCUCCGCAGCGCAUGAGCAUGGAGCUGCUGCAGAAGAAAGAAGCAGCGUGUGGAACUGGAAGGCUACAGCGAGCAAGAGGAGGAAGCGGAAGCCUGUGGAUGGGGGGGAAAGAGAGAGGCUCUCUGGGCAAAAGCACCUCCCUGUUAGCGGGGACACAGUCAUGUUUCGGUAGAGCGCUGCCGGCACCUUGGGUGACCAGGCCGGGUUUGUGCUGGGCGACCUCCCUGUAAGCAGGGCUCGGGUCUUUGCUGUAGCUGGCCUUUUGCCUUGUUGCUCCUUUGGCUGCCUGGGGAGCGUGGCCCCCCGUACGGAGGGCGAGAGCCACCUCUCCGCACCUGAGUGGGAAAUGGAGCUCGCCGUACCCCACGGCCACCCUGUAAGCAGGGUAGGUGCCGUUUCCCUGCCCCUCUUCUCCCGGCCCUUUGGCGUUGCUGCCUGCUGGUGGCCAGUCAAUGCAAUGGCCCUGUACUCGGGGUGCGUGUCACAGCCCUUUGCCUUAGCUCAGAACCCUCUUGGCACGUUGAGGUCUGUGGCCUCCGUGCAGCCUGGGGUCACGUCACAGGCUCUUUCCUGUUGCUUGUGGUUGUGGGUUUAUUCCCAGGUGUAGGCUGCGCUGCGUUGUCCUUCCCUUCUGGAAAGUCACAUCUGUGUGUGUGUUCCCCUUCCUUUCCUUGUUUGUGUUUGUGGAGUGACUGUGCGAUUGAACUUUCCUGUUAGGCCUCCACAAAAAAGGCUGCAGCUUAGCUUGGACUUCCCAGGGGGGAAUGGAGGACUUGAUGCGUGGCACAAGUGGGAUGUUCCCUCUUAGUCCCAUGAGCGCAGCGAGUGUCCUGUCACGCCCCCUUUUUUUUUAGGACAGAUGAGAGCCACAAGAUAGUUCAGUGGCCAUGGCCACCCUGUAGCCAGGGCUUCGGCCUGUCUCUGCGUGGCCGCCUGCUGGUGGCCAGUCAAUGCAACGGCCCUGUACUCGGGGUGCGUGUCACAAGCUGUUGAGCCCUCUGUCCCCAGAGCAGCCCAGCCCCGCUGUAGUCAGGUCUGGGGAGGCUGCUUUAGCCAGCCAGUUGGUGGGAAUGACCCCUCCCUGUCCCGUUAGAGGGUGCAGGUUGAGGUGCUGCUUGUAGCUGGAGCGACCUCCCCGCUCGGUGGGUCGAGGUUGUUCCCUGGGCUCCCAGAGACGUGAUGUUGUGCUGCAGCCGGGCGGGCCCGCCUGUAGCUCAGGCGUUGGUGGGAGCUGUGUGCUCCGUGGGGCUUCUUGGCGAUGGUGAGAUGUUGGGCACCGUCCUGUAGCCAGGGCUGUGUGUGCCCCGUGUGUUUGGUGAGCUGUGUUCUGAGAGAAGACCCCCUGUAGUCAGGCGGGUAUGUGGCCCUGGCCUUUCAGAGGCACAGGGCCGAUAGAUGUGAGAUUGGGCUUGCACCCUCCCUGCAUUUGGGGCCUGGAUUGCGCCCGCGGCCUUUGGCCGUGCUGUCCCGCUGCCUGGCUGCUGAGUGUCGUUCCUGCUGCUGGGGGGGAAACCGAGCUCUGUGGCUCCGUGGGUGUUGUCGCCCCGCCUGUAACCAGGGUCUGGGUGCAGGAGCCUUUGUGCUCUGCUGGCAGCCUGUGUACACCAGAAUGGGAGAGAAGGAGCCUCCCUCAGCCUACGGACCAGGGCUGCCCUGUAAGUCAGGGAUUGGCCGUGCCUUGGAGUCCCAGGCCCUUUGCAAUGGAGGCAGCGUCAGGGGACCCCUGUAAGCAGGGAAGUUGACCCUUUGGCUGCUGCUUUUUGUGUGCCCAGCUCCAUUUGCCCAGUCUGCCCGCCUCCGUGACCCUCCGCAGCACCGGCUGGAGCUCCGCAGCGCAUGAGCAUGGAGCUGCUGCAGAAGAAAGAAGCAGCGUGUGGAACUGGAAGGCUACAGCGAGCAAGAGGAGGAAGCGGAAGCCUGUGGAUGGGGGGGAAAGAGAGAGGCUCUCUGGGCAAAAGCACCUCCCUGUUAGCGGGGACACAGUCAUGUUUCGGUAGAGCGCUGCCGGCACCUUGGGUGACCAGGCCGGGUUUGUGCUGGGCGACCUCCCUGUAAGCAGGGCUCGGGUCUUUGCUGUAGCUGGCCUUUUGCCUUGUUGCUCCUUUGGCUGCCUGGGGAGCGUGGCCCCCCGUACGGAGGGCGAGAGCCACCUCUCCGCACCUGAGUGGGAAAUGGAGCUCGCCGUACCCCACGGCCACCCUGUAAGCAGGGUAGGUGCCGUUUCCCUGCCCCUCUUCUCCCGGCCCUUUGGCGUUGCUGCCUGCUGGUGGCCAGUCAAUGCAACGGCCCUGUACUCGGGGUGCGUGUCACAAGCUGUUGAGCCCUCUGUCCCCAGAGCAGCCCAGCCCCGCUGUAGUCAGGUCUGGGGAGGCUGCUUUAGCCAGCCAGUUGGUGGGAAUGACCCCUCCCUGUCCCGUUAGAGGGUGCAGGUUGAGGUGCUGCUUGUAGCUGGAGCGACCUCCCCGCUCGGUGGGUCGAGGUUGUUCCCUGGGCUCCCAGAGACGUGAUGUUGUGCUGCAGCCGGGCGGGCCCGCCUGUAGCUCAGGCGUUGGUGGGAGCUGUGUGCUCCGUGGGGCUUCUUGGCGAUGGUGAGAUGUUGGGCACCGUCCUGUAGCCAGGGCUGUGUGUGCCCCGUGUGUUUGGUGAGCUGUGUUCUGAGAGAAGACCCCCUGUAGUCAGGCGGGUAUGUGGCCCUGGCCUUUCAGAGGCACAGGGCCGAUAGAUGUGAGAUUGGGCUUGCACCCUCCCUGCAUUUGGGGCCUGGAUUGCGCCCGCGGCCUUUGGCCGUGCUGUCCCGCUGCCUGGCUGCUGAGUGUCGUUCCUGCUGCUGGGGGGGAAACCGAGCUCUGUGGCUCCGUGGGUGUUGUCGCCCCGCCUGUAACCAGGGUCUGGGUGCAGGAGCCUUUGUGCUCUGCUGGCAGCCUGUGUACACCAGAAUGGGAGAGAAGGAGCCUCCCUCAGCCUACGGACCAGGGCUGCCCUGUAAGUCAGGGAUUGGCCGUGCCUUGGAGUCCCAGGCCCUUUGCAAUGGAGGCAGCGUCAGGGGACCCCUGUAAGCAGGGAAGUUGACCCUUUGGCUGCUGCUUUUUGUGUGCCCAGCUCCAUUUGCCCAGUCUGCCCGCCUCCGUGACCCUCCGCAGCACCGGCUGGAGCUCCGCAGCGCAUGAGCAUGGAGCUGCUGCAGAAGAAAGAAGCAGCGUGUGGAACUGGAAGGCUACAGCGAGCAAGAGGAGGAAGCGGAAGCCUGUGGAUGGGGGGGAAAGAGAGAGGCUCUCUGGGCAAAAGCACCUCCCUGUUAGCGGGGACACAGUCAUGUUUCGGUAGAGCGCUGCCGGCACCUUGGGUGACCAGGCCGGGUUUGUGCUGGGCGACCUCCCUGUAAGCAGGGCUCGGGUCUUUGCUGUAGCUGGCCUUUUGCCUUGUUGCUCCUUUGGCUGCCUGGGGAGCGUGGCCCCCCGUACGGAGGGCGAGAGCCACCUCUCCGCACCUGAGUGGGAAAUGGAGCUCGCCGUACCCCACGGCCACCCUGUAAGCAGGGUAGGUGCCGUUUCCCUGCCCCUCUUCUCCCGGCCCUUUGGCGUUGCUGCCUGCUGGUGGCCAGUCAAUGCAAUGGCCCUGUACUCGGGGUGCGUGUCACAGCCCUUUGCCUUAGCUCAGAACCCUCUUGGCACGUUGAGGUCUGUGGCCUCCGUGCAGCCUGGGGUCACGUCACAGGCUCUUUCCUGUUGCUUGUGGUUGUGGGUUUAUUCCCAGGUGUAGGCUGCGCUGCGUUGUCCUUCCCUUCUGGAAAGUCACAUCUGUGUGUGUGUUCCCCUUCCUUUCCUUGUUUGUGUUUGUGGAGUGACUGUGCGAUUGAACUUUCCUGUUAGGCCUCCACAAAAAAGGCUGCAGCUUAGCUUGGACUUCCCAGGGGGGAAUGGAGGACUUGAUGCGUGGCACAAGUGGGAUGUUCCCUCUUAGUCCCAUGAGCGCAGCGAGUGUCCUGUCACGCCCCCUUUUUUUUUAGGACAGAUGAGAGCCACAAGAUAGUUCAGUGGCCAUGGCCACCCUGUAGCCAGGGCUUCGGCCUGUCUCUGCGUGGCCGCCUGCUGGUGGCCAGUCAAUGCAACGGCCCUGUACUCGGGGUGCGUGUCACAAGCUGUUGAGCCCUCUGUCCCCAGAGCAGCCCAGCCCCGCUGUAGUCAGGUCUGGGGAGGCUGCUUUAGCCAGCCAGUUGGUGGGAAUGACCCCUCCCUGUCCCGUUAGAGGGUGCAGGUUGAGGUGCUGCUUGUAGCUGGAGCGACCUCCCCGCUCGGUGGGUCGAGGUUGUUCCCUGGGCUCCCAGAGACGUGAUGUUGUGCUGCAGCCGGGCGGGCCCGCCUGUAGCUCAGGCGUUGGUGGGAGCUGUGUGCUCCGUGGGGCUUCUUGGCGAUGGUGAGAUGUUGGGCACCGUCCUGUAGCCAGGGCUGUGUGUGCCCCGUGUGUUUGGUGAGCUGUGUUCUGAGAGAAGACCCCCUGUAGUCAGGCGGGUAUGUGGCCCUGGCCUUUCAGAGGCACAGGGCCGAUAGAUGUGAGAUUGGGCUUGCACCCUCCCUGCAUUUGGGGCCUGGAUUGCGCCCGCGGCCUUUGGCCGUGCUGUCCCGCUGCCUGGCUGCUGAGUGUCGUUCCUGCUGCUGGGGGGGAAACCGAGCUCUGUGGCUCCGUGGGUGUUGUCGCCCCGCCUGUAACCAGGGUCUGGGUGCAGGAGCCUUUGUGCUCUGCUGGCAGCCUGUGUACACCAGAAUGGGAGAGAAGGAGCCUCCCUCAGCCUACGGACCAGGGCUGCCCUGUAAGUCAGGGAUUGGCCGUGCCUUGGAGUCCCAGGCCCUUUGCAAUGGAGGCAGCGUCAGGGGACCCCUGUAAGCAGGGAAGUUGACCCUUUGGCUGCUGCUUUUUGUGUGCCCAGCUCCAUUUGCCCAGUCUGCCCGCCUCCGUGACCCUCCGCAGCACCGGCUGGAGCUCCGCAGCGCAUGAGCAUGGAGCUGCUGCAGAAGAAAGAAGCAGCGUGUGGAACUGGAAGGCUACAGCGAGCAAGAGGAGGAAGCGGAAGCCUGUGGAUGGGGGGGAAAGAGAGAGGCUCUCUGGGCAAAAGCACCUCCCUGUUAGCGGGGACACAGUCAUGUUUCGGUAGAGCGCUGCCGGCACCUUGGGUGACCAGGCCGGGUUUGUGCUGGGCGACCUCCCUGUAAGCAGGGCUCGGGUCUUUGCUGUAGCUGGCCUUUUGCCUUGUUGCUCCUUUGGCUGCCUGGGGAGCGUGGCCCCCCGUACGGAGGGCGAGAGCCACCUCUCCGCACCUGAGUGGGAAAUGGAGCUCGCCGUACCCCACGGCCACCCUGUAAGCAGGGUAGGUGCCGUUUCCCUGCCCCUCUUCUCCCGGCCCUUUGGCGUUGCUGCCUGCUGGUGGCCAGUCAAUGCAACGGCCCUGUACUCGGGGUGCGUGUCACAAGCUGUUGAGCCCUCUGUCCCCAGAGCAGCCCAGCCCCGCUGUAGUCAGGUCUGGGGAGGCUGCUUUAGCCAGCCAGUUGGUGGGAAUGACCCCUCCCUGUCCCGUUAGAGGGUGCAGGUUGAGGUGCUGCUUGUAGCUGGAGCGACCUCCCCGCUCGGUGGGUCGAGGUUGUUCCCUGGGCUCCCAGAGACGUGAUGUUGUGCUGCAGCCGGGCGGGCCCGCCUGUAGCUCAGGCGUUGGUGGGAGCUGUGUGCUCCGUGGGGCUUCUUGGCGAUGGUGAGAUGUUGGGCACCGUCCUGUAGCCAGGGCUGUGUGUGCCCCGUGUGUUUGGUGAGCUGUGUUCUGAGAGAAGACCCCCUGUAGUCAGGCGGGUAUGUGGCCCUGGCCUUUCAGAGGCACAGGGCCGAUAGAUGUGAGAUUGGGCUUGCACCCUCCCUGCAUUUGGGGCCUGGAUUGCGCCCGCGGCCUUUGGCCGUGCUGUCCCGCUGCCUGGCUGCUGAGUGUCGUUCCUGCUGCUGGGGGGGAAACCGAGCUCUGUGGCUCCGUGGGUGUUGUCGCCCCGCCUGUAACCAGGGUCUGGGUGCAGGAGCCUUUGUGCUCUGCUGGCAGCCUGUGUACACCAGAAUGGGAGAGAAGGAGCCUCCCUCAGCCUACGGACCAGGGCUGCCCUGUAAGUCAGGGAUUGGCCGUGCCUUGGAGUCCCAGGCCCUUUGCAAUGGAGGCAGCGUCAGGGGACCCCUGUAAGCAGGGAAGUUGACCCUUUGGCUGCUGCUUUUUGUGUGCCCAGCUCCAUUUGCCCAGUCUGCCCGCCUCCGUGACCCUCCGCAGCACCGGCUGGAGCUCCGCAGCGCAUGAGCAUGGAGCUGCUGCAGAAGAAAGAAGCAGCGUGUGGAACUGGAAGGCUACAGCGAGCAAGAGGAGGAAGCGGAAGCCUGUGGAUGGGGGGGAAAGAGAGAGGCUCUCUGGGCAAAAGCACCUCCCUGUUAGCGGGGACACAGUCAUGUUUCGGUAGAGCGCUGCCGGCACCUUGGGUGACCAGGCCGGGUUUGUGCUGGGCGACCUCCCUGUAAGCAGGGCUCGGGUCUUUGCUGUAGCUGGCCUUUUGCCUUGUUGCUCCUUUGGCUGCCUGGGGAGCGUGGCCCCCCGUACGGAGGGCGAGAGCCACCUCUCCGCACCUGAGUGGGAAAUGGAGCUCGCCGUACCCCACGGCCACCCUGUAAGCAGGGUAGGUGCCGUUUCCCUGCCCCUCUUCUCCCGGCCCUUUGGCGUUGCUGCCUGCUGGUGGCCAGUCAAUGCAAUGGCCCUGUACUCGGGGUGCGUGUCACAGCCCUUUGCCUUAGCUCAGAACCCUCUUGGCACGUUGAGGUCUGUGGCCUCCGUGCAGCCUGGGGUCACGUCACAGGCUCUUUCCUGUUGCUUGUGGUUGUGGGUUUAUUCCCAGGUGUAGGCUGCGCUGCGUUGUCCUUCCCUUCUGGAAAGUCACAUCUGUGUGUGUGUUCCCCUUCCUUUCCUUGUUUGUGUUUGUGGAGUGACUGUGCGAUUGAACUUUCCUGUUAGGCCUCCACAAAAAAGGCUGCAGCUUAGCUUGGACUUCCCAGGGGGGAAUGGAGGACUUGAUGCGUGGCACAAGUGGGAUGUUCCCUCUUAGUCCCAUGAGCGCAGCGAGUGUCCUGUCACGCCCCCUUUUUUUUUAGGACAGAUGAGAGCCACAAGAUAGUUCAGUGGCCAUGGCCACCCUGUAGCCAGGGCUUCGGCCUGUCUCUGCGUGGCCGCCUGCUGGUGGCCAGUCAAUGCAACGGCCCUGUACUCGGGGUGCGUGUCACAAGCUGUUGAGCCCUCUGUCCCCAGAGCAGCCCAGCCCCGCUGUAGUCAGGUCUGGGGAGGCUGCUUUAGCCAGCCAGUUGGUGGGAAUGACCCCUCCCUGUCCCGUUAGAGGGUGCAGGUUGAGGUGCUGCUUGUAGCUGGAGCGACCUCCCCGCUCGGUGGGUCGAGGUUGUUCCCUGGGCUCCCAGAGACGUGAUGUUGUGCUGCAGCCGGGCGGGCCCGCCUGUAGCUCAGGCGUUGGUGGGAGCUGUGUGCUCCGUGGGGCUUCUUGGCGAUGGUGAGAUGUUGGGCACCGUCCUGUAGCCAGGGCUGUGUGUGCCCCGUGUGUUUGGUGAGCUGUGUUCUGAGAGAAGACCCCCUGUAGUCAGGCGGGUAUGUGGCCCUGGCCUUUCAGAGGCACAGGGCCGAUAGAUGUGAGAUUGGGCUUGCACCCUCCCUGCAUUUGGGGCCUGGAUUGCGCCCGCGGCCUUUGGCCGUGCUGUCCCGCUGCCUGGCUGCUGAGUGUCGUUCCUGCUGCUGGGGGGGAAACCGAGCUCUGUGGCUCCGUGGGUGUUGUCGCCCCGCCUGUAACCAGGGUCUGGGUGCAGGAGCCUUUGUGCUCUGCUGGCAGCCUGUGUACACCAGAAUGGGAGAGAAGGAGCCUCCCUCAGCCUACGGACCAGGGCUGCCCUGUAAGUCAGGGAUUGGCCGUGCCUUGGAGUCCCAGGCCCUUUGCAAUGGAGGCAGCGUCAGGGGACCCCUGUAAGCAGGGAAGUUGACCCUUUGGCUGCUGCUUUUUGUGUGCCCAGCUCCAUUUGCCCAGUCUGCCCGCCUCCGUGACCCUCCGCAGCACCGGCUGGAGCUCCGCAGCGCAUGAGCAUGGAGCUGCUGCAGAAGAAAGAAGCAGCGUGUGGAACUGGAAGGCUACAGCGAGCAAGAGGAGGAAGCGGAAGCCUGUGGAUGGGGGGGAAAGAGAGAGGCUCUCUGGGCAAAAGCACCUCCCUGUUAGCGGGGACACAGUCAUGUUUCGGUAGAGCGCUGCCGGCACCUUGGGUGACCAGGCCGGGUUUGUGCUGGGCGACCUCCCUGUAAGCAGGGCUCGGGUCUUUGCUGUAGCUGGCCUUUUGCCUUGUUGCUCCUUUGGCUGCCUGGGGAGCGUGGCCCCCCGUACGGAGGGCGAGAGCCACCUCUCCGCACCUGAGUGGGAAAUGGAGCUCGCCGUACCCCACGGCCACCCUGUAAGCAGGGUAGGUGCCGUUUCCCUGCCCCUCUUCUCCCGGCCCUUUGGCGUUGCUGCCUGCUGGUGGCCAGUCAAUGCAAUGGCCCUGUACUCGGGGUGCGUGUCACAGCCCUUUGCCUUAGCUCAGAACCCUCUUGGCACGUUGAGGUCUGUGGCCUCCGUGCAGCCUGGGGUCACGUCACAGGCUCUUUCCUGUUGCUUGUGGUUGUGGGUUUAUUCCCAGGUGUAGGCUGCGCUGCGUUGUCCUUCCCUUCUGGAAAGUCACAUCUGUGUGUGUGUUCCCCUUCCUUUCCUUGUUUGUGUUUGUGGAGUGACUGUGCGAUUGAACUUUCCUGUUAGGCCUCCACAAAAAAGGCUGCAGCUUAGCUUGGACUUCCCAGGGGGGAAUGGAGGACUUGAUGCGUGGCACAAGUGGGAUGUUCCCUCUUAGUCCCAUGAGCGCAGCGAGUGUCCUGUCACGCCCCCUUUUUUUUUAGGACAGAUGAGAGCCACAAGAUAGUUCAGUGGCCAUGGCCACCCUGUAGCCAGGGCUUCGGCCUGUCUCUGCGUGGCCGCCUGCUGGUGGCCAGUCAAUGCAACGGCCCUGUACUCGGGGUGCGUGUCACAAGCUGUUGAGCCCUCUGUCCCCAGAGCAGCCCAGCCCCGCUGUAGUCAGGUCUGGGGAGGCUGCUUUAGCCAGCCAGUUGGUGGGAAUGACCCCUCCCUGUCCCGUUAGAGGGUGCAGGUUGAGGUGCUGCUUGUAGCUGGAGCGACCUCCCCGCUCGGUGGGUCGAGGUUGUUCCCUGGGCUCCCAGAGACGUGAUGUUGUGCUGCAGCCGGGCGGGCCCGCCUGUAGCUCAGGCGUUGGUGGGAGCUGUGUGCUCCGUGGGGCUUCUUGGCGAUGGUGAGAUGUUGGGCACCGUCCUGUAGCCAGGGCUGUGUGUGCCCCGUGUGUUUGGUGAGCUGUGUUCUGAGAGAAGACCCCCUGUAGUCAGGCGGGUAUGUGGCCCUGGCCUUUCAGAGGCACAGGGCCGAUAGAUGUGAGAUUGGGCUUGCACCCUCCCUGCAUUUGGGGCCUGGAUUGCGCCCGCGGCCUUUGGCCGUGCUGUCCCGCUGCCUGGCUGCUGAGUGUCGUUCCUGCUGCUGGGGGGGAAACCGAGCUCUGUGGCUCCGUGGGUGUUGUCGCCCCGCCUGUAACCAGGGUCUGGGUGCAGGAGCCUUUGUGCUCUGCUGGCAGCCUGUGUACACCAGAAUGGGAGAGAAGGAGCCUCCCUCAGCCUACGGACCAGGGCUGCCCUGUAAGUCAGGGAUUGGCCGUGCCUUGGAGUCCCAGGCCCUUUGCAAUGGAGGCAGCGUCAGGGGACCCCUGUAAGCAGGGAAGUUGACCCUUUGGCUGCUGCUUUUUGUGUGCCCAGCUCCAUUUGCCCAGUCUGCCCGCCUCCGUGACCCUCCGCAGCACCGGCUGGAGCUCCGCAGCGCAUGAGCAUGGAGCUGCUGCAGAACAAAGUAGAUAGUGGAUCCUUGUGGGUAACUUGAGCAAGUAGAGGGAGCUGCAUCUGUGUAGUGUUCUGGCUUUUAUUUGGUCUGUUGUCAUUUUAUUUUCUCUUUUUUUUUUUUACUAAGCUGUAAUUGUUCCUCAUUGUCAUGUAUUAUCCCUCAGAAUAAAAUUUGUUUGCUUGUCUUUGUUGAAA